rnacentral:rRNA from 1 species
CCUACGGGAGGCAGCAGUGGGGAAUAUUGGGCAAUGGGCGCAAGCCUGACCCAGCAACGCCGCGUGAAGGAAGAAGGCUUUCGGGUUGUAAACUUCUUUUCUCAGGGACGAAGAAAGUGACGGUACCUGAUGAAUAAGCCACGGCUAACUACGUGCCAGCAGCCGCGGUAAUACGUAGGUGGCAAGCGUUAUCCGGAUUUACUGGGUGUAAAGGGCGUGUAGGCGGGAGAGCAAGUCAGAUGUGAAAACUCAGGGCUCAACCCCGAGCCUGCAUUUGAAACUGUUUUUCUUGAGUGCUGGAGAGGCAAACGGAAUUCCGAGUGUAGCGGUGAAAUGCGUAGAUAUUAGGAGGAACACCAGUGGCGAAGGCGGACUGCUGGACAGUAACUGACGCUGAGGCGCGAAAGCGUGGGGAGCAAACAGGAUUAGAUACCCCAGUAGUC